GGUAUUAGCUCAGUUGGCUAGAGCGUUUGACUGGCAGUCAAGAGGUCAUCGGUUCGAUUCCGUUAUACUCC
rnacentral:tRNA from 1 species